rnacentral:rRNA from 1 species
GAUGAACGCUAGCUACAGGCUUAACACAUGCAAGUCGCGGGCAGCAUGUCGGUUGCUUGCAACCGAUGAUGGCGACCGGCGCACGGGUGAGUAACGCGUAUCCAACCUGCCCUUCACCACGGAAUAAUCCAGUGAAAAUUGGUCUAAUACCGUAUGAGGUCAUACGAUGGCAUCAGAAUAUGACGAAAGGUUUGGCGGUGAAGGAUGGGGAUGCGUCUGAUUAGCUUGUUGGUGAGGUAACGGCUCACCAAGGCGACGAUCAGUAGGGUUCUGAGAGGAAGGUCCCCCACAUUGGAACUGAGACACGGUCCAAACUUCCUACGGGAGCAGCAGUGAGGAAUAUUGGUCAAUGGACGGGAGUCUGAACCAGCCAAGUAGCGUGCAGGACGACGGCCCUAUGGGUUGUAAAC